rnacentral:rRNA from 1 species
GAUGAACGCUGGCGGCGUGCUUAACACAUGCAAGUCGAACGAAGAGGGUUAGAAUGAGAGCUUCGGCAGGAUUUCUUUCCAUCUUAGUGGCGGACGGGUGAGUAACGUGUGGGCAACCCUGCCCUGUACUGGGGAAUAAUCAUUGGAAACGAUGACUAAUACCGCAUGUGGUUCUCGGAAGGCAUCUUCUGUAGGAAGAAAGGAUUUAUUCGGUACAGGAUGGGCCCGCAUCUGAUUAGCUAGUUGGUGAGAUAACAGCCCACCAAGGCGACGAUCAGUAGCCGACCUGAGAGGGUGAUCGGCCACAUUGGGACUGAGACACGGCCCAA